rnacentral:rRNA from 1 species
AGUGAACGCUGGCGGUAGGCCUAACACAUGCAAGUCGAACGGCAGCACCGUAAGAGCUUGCUCUUACGGGUGGCGAGUGGCGGACGGGUGAGGAAUACAUCGGAAUCUACUUUUUCGUGGGGGAUAACGUAGGGAAACUUACGCUAAUACCGCAUACGACCUACGGGUGAAAGCAGGGGAUCUUCGGACCUUGCGCGAUUGAAUGAGCCGAUGUCGGAUUAGCUAGUUGGCGGGGUAAAGGCCCACCAAGGCGACGAUCCGUAGCUGGUCUGAGAGGAUGAUAGGCCACACUGGAACUGAGACAGGGUCCAGACUCCUACGGGAGGCAGCAGUGGGGAAUAUGGGACAAUGGUCGCAAGCCUGAUCCAGCCAUACCGCGUGGGUGAAGAAGGCCUUCGGGUUGUAAAGCCCUUUUGUUGGGAAAGAAAAGCAGCAGGUUAAUACCCCGCUGUUCUGACGGUACCCAAAGAAUAAGCACCGGCUAACUUCGUG